UCCCUCGAGCCAGAGACGGCACCUCCGACUAACUGCUGCCACACUAGAGGGCGGUGGGAGACACCCAAUGCUGCUGCGAAUUUCUCCAUUCCCGAUCCAGAACGCAAUCUGAUGGUCACUGUUUUUCUGGCUUAACGCUGGAGUUACAUUACUACGACAAGUGUCCCGGCAAUGAAUUCACACCGUAGACGGAAGUGGGGGACAGCGCCACCCGUGAAAGUUUCGCCUGUAACACAUGAAUGAAAUGCAUCUUCAAAGCACUCCACUGUCAAGUAUGAACCGUAUAAAAUCGUACCCUCCACUAUCUUAGCCGAAAUCCAUGGAAGAAAUAUUUUAGUCAAGCUUUCCAAAAGAGCAAACAGUUCAUUCGCCAGCAAU